rnacentral:rRNA from 1 species
GAGUGAUCGAAAGAUGAAAAGCACUUUGAAAAGAGAGUUAAACAGCACGUGAAAUUGUUGAAAGGGAAGCGCUUGCGACCAGACUCGCCUCCGGGGUUCAGCCGGCAUUCGUGCCGGUGUACUUCCCCGGGGGCGGGCCAGCGUCGGUUUGGGCGGCCGGUCAAAGGCCUCCGGAAUGUAGCGCCCUUCGGGGCGCCUUAUAGCCGGGGGUGCAAUGCGGCCAGCCUGGACCGAGGAACGCGCUUCGGCUCGGACGCUGGCAUAAUGGUCGUAAACGACCC